AACGAACGCUGGCGGCAUGCCUAACACAUGCAAGUCGAACGAGACCUUCGGGUCUAGUGGCGCACGGGUGCGUAACGCGUGGGAACCUGCCCUUAGGUUCGGAAUAACUCCCCGAAAGGGGUGCUAAUACCGGAUAAUGUCUUCGGACCAAAGAUUUAUCGCCUUUGGAUGGGCCCGCGUUGGAUUAGCUAGUUGGUAGGGUAAAAGCCUACCAAGGCGACGAUCCAUAGCUGGUCUGAGAGGAUGAUCAGCCACACUGGGACUGAGACACGGCCCAGACUCCUACGGGAGGCAGCAGUGGGGAAUAUUGGACAAUGGGCGAAAGCCUGAUCCAGCAAUGCCGCGUGAGUGAUGAGGGCCUUAGGGUUGUAAAGCUCUUUUAACCGGGAUGAUAAUGACAGUACCGGGAGAAUAAGCUCCGGCUAACUCCGUG
rnacentral:rRNA from 1 species